UAAACUACGAUUAGAUACCCUAUUAUUAAACAAGGAGGUUGAAUUUACUAGAGUAUUAAUAGAUAAAGGCUUUAAACUCAAAGAAUUUGGCGGUAUCUUAUUCUAUACAGAGGAACCUGCCCCGUAAUCGACAACCCACGAUAUAAAUAAUUUAAUUUGGUAAUAGCUUGUAUACCGUUGUUAUAAGAUUACUUCUAGAGAAGGUAUUCAAAAUUUAUAAUUGAAUAAGAAGACAAAUCAAGGUGCAGCUUAUAAUUAAAGGGAGGUGGGUUACAAUAGGUUAAUCUAAACGGAUUGAAUAAGGAUGAAUUUAGGAAGGUGGAUUUGUUAGUAAUUUAAAUAAUUAAAUUUAAAUGAGUAAGCUCUAAGAUAUGUACACAUCGCCCGUCGC
rnacentral:rRNA from 1 species